ensembl:lncRNA
UUUUCACCAUAAUUUCACCAUUGCAUCGUAUUUUCACUCUGCCUAGAGUCAGCCCUUUAUAAUACAUCCUACUCUCUGUGCUCACAUGCUGAAUUUUAAUACAGCCGAAUUCCCAAUAAAGCUGUUCUCAUUUACAUAUUUUUUCUGUUUCUGAAAGCAGGACCUCGCACUCACCAGGCAGUACUGGCCAUUCUCUUCUACGGAAAGUAGCUAAGUCCAACGGAUCUGACGCACUGAAGGCUGGACAUUGGCAGAUAUCAUCUAUGAUGAAAAAGCCUCCCUUGCGAGACGAGAAUCUUCACCAUCUGAAUCAUGAGUGCCGGUGCCCGUCGUCAGUCCCUUCUCUCUCCGUUACUGGACCUGGAUCUGGAUCUCGAUCUGGACACUCAUUACCAGCUUGUGCAUCUCACUGCUGAUAUCAUGAUGCUACUUAACUAUCUUCGCAGCACCCGCUCUAGGAAUGGAGAUCCGGGGUUCCCCCCUCUUCUUCGAUACAGAAUCUGCCUACAGCAUCUACAGCAAUCUACAGCAAAUGACUGGUGGGUGCGUAAUCUUGAGGAGAGUGGUGGGGGGAAGAAAA